GGGGAUGUUACGGAUUCGACAGGGAUAGUUCGAGCUUGAGUUGCGAGUCGGGGGGAUCGUCCUCGUUAUCAACGUCAAAGCCAAUAAUAACUGGCAAAGAAAAACAAAACCUAGCUUUCGCUGCCUAAUAAGCAGUAGCAUAGCUGAUCCUCCGUGCAUCGCCCAUGUGCUACGGUAAGGGUCUCACUCUAAGUGGGCUACACUAGUUAAUCUCCGUCUGGGGUUAAAUAGAAGAGCUUAAUCAGACUAGCUGAAUCAGACUAGCUGAAUGGAAGCCUGUUACCGGGCCGAUGUUUAUGCGAAAUGCUAAUACGGUGACUACGCUCGUAGAUAUUUAAGUGCCGAUAUUUCUGGACGUGGGUUCGACUCCCACCAUCUCCAUAU
rnacentral:tmRNA from 1 species